GAUGAACGCUGGCUACAGGCUUAACACAUGCAAGUCGAGGGGAAACGACGGGGAAGCUUGCUUCCCCGGGCGUCGACCGGCGCACGGGUGAGUAACGCGUAUCCAACCUGCCUCUGACUGAGGGAUAACCCGUCGAAAGUCGGCCUAAUACCUCAUGGUAUCGUCUGCGGGCAUCCAACGACGAUUAAAGAUUUCAUCGGUCAGGGAUGGGGAUGCGUCUGAUUAGCUUGUUGGCGGGGUAACGGCCCACCAAGGCUACGAUCAGUAGGGGUUCUGAGAGGAAGGUCCCCCACAUUGGAACUGGGACACGGUCCAAACACCUACGGGAGGCAGCAGUGAGGAAUAUUGGUCAAUGGGCGAGAGCCUGAACCAGCCAAGUAGCGUGCAGGAAGACGGCCCUAUGGGUUGUAAACUGCUUUUAUGCGGGGAUAAAGUGAGGGACGUGUCCCUCAUUGCAGGUACCGCAUGAAUAAGGACCGGCUAAUUCCGUG
rnacentral:rRNA from 1 species